UUUAUUUAAGAUGAGACAAAGUGCUUCGGAAUGAUACAGAAAAGGUUAGCAUGACCCUGUGGCAAGGAUGACACACAAAUUUGUGAAGCGUUCCAUAUUUUU